AGGAGCCGGUGAGGUUGUCGGCUG
rnacentral:siRNA from 1 species